GACGUAGGGCGCGAGCGUUGUCCGGAUUUAUUGGGCGUAAAGAGCUCGUAGGCGGCUUGUCGCGUCGGCUGUGAAAACCCGCGGCUCAACUGUGGGCGGGCAGCUGAUACGGGCAGGCUGGAGUUCGGUAGGGGAGACUGGAAUUCAUGGUGUAGCAGUGAAAUGCGUAGAGAUCAUGAGGAAGACCAGUGGCGAAGGCGGGUCUCUGGACAGUUCCUGACACUGAGGCACGAAGGCCAGGGGAGCAAACGGG
rnacentral:rRNA from 1 species